AACAGAAGACAGACUCUGCAAUGAGCUUAUCAAUCUCAAGAUUGAAGCAGUGAGGAAGCUGUGUAAGGAGUGUGUUUUGGACUCUAAGGGUGGAUAUUAUCCUGCGCUUGAGAGGUGAAAUGAAAAGCCGUGCCACAUAUGACAGUCUUCCAAAAAGUUUGAAGGGCUUCAGGCUCCCUUCCACAUUUAGGGGCAGUGGGAGAAGAGUAAACCAGGUGAUUGCUGAAAUGUCAGAAGACGAAUAUAGUAUAAUUAUGGACGCUCAUCAACAUCAUUCCACAUGCUAAAUAUUAUACCAAAUUGGAAA